rnacentral:pre_miRNA from 1 species
AACCUUUGGCCGCUGGGAUACUCCUUGUGCUCGCUGUGCAAUUUACGUGAAACCAGUGAACACAUCUGGUGGUAUCUCAGUGGCCGGCUGUGU